GAUGAGAACGUAGCGAAAUGCGAUACGUAGUGUGAAUUGCAGAAUUCAGUGAAUCAUCGAAUCUUUGAACGCACAUUGCACCUCUCGGUAUUCCGGGAGGUAUGCCUGUUCGAGCGUCAUUUGUACCCUCAAGCUCUGCUUGGUGUUGGGUGUUUGUUCCGCCUCUGUGUGUGAACUCGCCUCAAAACAAUUGGCAGCCGGCGUACUUGUUUCGGAGCGCAGCACAUUUUGCGAUCUAGACCAACGUACAGCGGCAUCCAAGAAGCCUUAUUUAACGCUCUUGACCUCGGAUCAGGUAGGGAUACCCGCUGAACUUAAGCAUAUCAAUAAGCGGAGGA
rnacentral:misc_RNA from 1 species